rnacentral:antisense_RNA from 1 species
AAAAAUCGAGGGGAAGAAGAGAGGGCUUGGAGGCAGCAUGUGGGGAGAGGUCAACCUCUAAAGUGCCAGCUCUCCAGAAAUGCAGCCGGACUGAAGGCUUUAUUUGAGGAGCCUGGCAGUCCUAUAAGGGGAAACCCACCUAUUACUUCAAGCAAAGCUGAUGCAGAGAGAUGAGCCAAUUGAGCAGGAGACAAUGUAAGCAGCUGUGGGGGUGUCGAGUACUCCCUCCUGCCUGUGGGAGCUGCACCGUGGAGUCUAGCUUGUCACCCUCUGGAGGCAGAGCCCCUCCUCCCUGCCUCCUCUUGGUCUAGAUGGACAGCCAUGGCAGCGGAGGCUGCAGAGCUGAGCAGGUGAUACUGGGCAGCGACCCUGCUGCGGGCAGGGUCCACACCCCACAGCUCUUUACUGCAUUUAUUUAACAAGCGACAUUGAGCCAGCAAUCUCUGCUGAAAAGUGCUCAGCCCUGGAGAGAGAACUGUGAACAACGUGGACACAGCUCCUGCUUUGUGGAGCUUGGUGUCUGGCUGGGGUAAAAAUAAACAAGCAGUUACAACAC